rnacentral:lncRNA from 1 species
GGCCAGCUUCGGGCGCGCCAUCCCUUCCUCUCUUUCUUGGGCCGCUCUUGGGCAGGCUGUUUCUUUUUUUUUUAGGCAGGCUAUUUCUUGGGCUGCUCUUGGGCCACGGCCCGACCGGCCUGGUACCGGUUCGCAGCUUCAAGUGAGCACAUCGGAUGGCUAGGAAAGGCUAGCAGCCCUAGAUCCGACGGUCGGAGAAUUUCUUCCUCGUUGGUACGGGCCAGAAAGGUGUGGG